rnacentral:rRNA from 1 species
UUCCCAUGACUAAGGGAUAACCUGCCGAAAGGCAGACUAAUACCUUAUGGUCUUCACUGACGGCAUCAGAUGUGAAGUAAAGAUUUAUCGGUUAUGGAUGGGGAUGCGUCUGAUUAGCUUGUUGGCGGGGUAACGGCCCACCAAGGCGACGAUCAGUAGGGGUUCUGAGAGGAAGGUCCCCCACAUUGGAACUGAGACACGGUCCAAACUCCUACGGGAGGCAGCAGUGAGGAAUAUUGGUCAAUGGGCGAGAGCCUGAACCAGCCAAGUAGCGUGCAGGAUGACGGCCCUAUGGGUUGUAAACUGCUUUUGUAUGGGGAUAAAGUCAAUCACGUGUGAUUGUUGGCAGUACCAUACGAAUAAGGA